ensembl:snRNA U6 U6 spliceosomal RNA
GUGCUUGCUUCAGCAGCACAUAUACUAAAAUUGGAAUGAUACAGAGUUAAGUAGAAUGUUCCUGAGAAAGGAUGCACGUAAAUUCAUGAAGUGUUCUAUAUAUUU